rnacentral:lncRNA from 1 species
AGCGCACACACACUUCUGUGCGUGUGGAACGGUCUCACCCAGACGACCCCCCUCCCCCAAAGGAAAUCGAGAUAUUCCUCUAGGGCUAGAGGGGACAACUGGUUUUGUGGGACAGGAGGAAGGAAAACGGCGACAGACAGCACUCCCUGUCACUUCUAAAAGAGAAGAGGGACAGGUUCCUUCACACCUAGCAAAGAUCCUCCGAUUCUGGAAGCAGGGGGAGCGGAACUUAGGGUACCUCUCUCCCACAACUAGAAUGGACAGGCCAGAGGACAGUCAUAGCGGUUUCCUUAAGGCUCACCAAAGGCAGCCGCUCCGGAUCCGGAUCUCCACCUCCGCCCCGCCCCUCAAUACUCCCAGGUGAUUGACAGUGCGGAGACCAAUGGGAGGCACUCUUGGCCGACCUACCCAGCGGCGCCGGGACACUACUGAAAACCUGUGUGGAAUCAAAGCUCACCGGAGACAGCUGUGGCCAUUGUGCCUAUAACGCCAACACCAGGCAUAUCCUGGAGCCUCAGCUGGAGAAUUUACCUGUCUUGGACAACCUGCCACAAAACUGUGCCCACAUCUAGUUCCAUCUGGUCAUCAGGGCGUCUCUCUUUCUUACACCCAUAACACACAAUCCCCACUUCCGCGCCAGUGUUCAUGAGAAGUGAAAAGGAAGAGGGAAGAGAGGGCUUGUUGGGAGGACAGAGGGGAUGGGGCAGAGUGGGAUUCCUAGCAGGUUCUGGCUGGUGACAAGCUCUUCCCCCAGCCCCCUUGCCAUACCCAGUUCUGGAACAGUUCCUUAUACAGGAGGGAUGGGUAGUCCCCUAGGCCCACCUUUCCAAGGCUGGAGGUGGGCCAAAGCCAGGACUCUGUCCUUCCCACAUACUGUGUGCAUACAUGGCUGUGACUGGGGUGCAGGGGAGAGAAGGGGGUAUAAUAGGCCCAUAGUGACUAAUUAAGUUUCUUCCUCAACCCUGGGGCCCCUGGUGGUGUGAAUGUGGUGCCAAGUAGAUUGGCUGGUGCCUCUGCCCUUCCUAGAGAUAGCAACUGGGCCCUGGGGUACAACGAAGGUGAGGGUGGGGAGUGAUUGCUGUGUUGGCUCCUCCAAAGCCCUGGGGCUCUCAGAGUAACCCCCAGAAACACCCAGAGCCAAUAACUACAAAAAUAAAGAGUUUAUUUCCUAUCCAAAA